UAAAAAUUGAGGUUACAAACCAAAUACUACUAUUGAAUAUGACACAAUGAAUGCCUCAGCCAAACUAUCUUUUAUGUAUCUUCUCUGCCUUUGCUAAGCUAAACUUACUUCUUAAUAGCAACUGUAGUAUCCAUCACUUCUAGCUUUAGCUUAAGUGAUGCAGUUUUGAAAUCUGCUCUAGCUGUCUCCUAUUUUCUCUCCAGGUUCAAAUUCUGAGUCCUCCCUGUAAACACCUUCACCUUAGCUUAUGUUAUUAAUGAAAUUCUUAUUUUUCCUCUGGAAUCAGACAAAUCACCGUGUCCCCUAGUCACAGAAGCAUUCUGAUGCUCAUAUUGCUCCAAUCUGAUCUAGUUUGUUCAUUCAAAAGCAAACAACUGUCUCAGAACUCUGAGUCAGAGUAACUGUUUCUUUUGGAACUCUAAGCAGAUUUAACAAGCAGCUUUGCCAUAUGAAAGGGCAGAAUCUUAAAGGGGCAGUGCCUUACGAGAAGAUUCAGACUUGAUCUAAGGAAAACCUUCUUAACAAUCAGAACUAUCCCAAAGUGAAAUGAGCUGCAUGAGGAGGUAGUAGAUUUUCCCUCACCUAAAGUCUUCAAAUGAAAUCAGUCAAACAAGCAAAGGGACAUCCACUGGACAUUUGGUUCGUGGGAAUCAAUAGUCUCCUUUCCUGUUUCAGGAUGAGGUUUAAACAGGAGCAGAAACCUAGUGGAGAUGGCAACAGGAGAGGCAAUCCUACAUUCUGAGCAGGAAGGACCCAGGUAGCCUUCUUUUAUAGCCAGGGAAAUGUCCUUCCCAUCUUGGAAGAAGCAGAACUACAAAUGAUAUUGCCCAGAAGAUGAGCAGAGGAGUCUGAAGCGGUGUGUAUCAGCAGAGACUUGGUCCCCUAAGACCAAGGAGCUGGGCAACAGGAGAGAUGAUGGAGCAUCGUGGAUAGUUUUAGAUUUGGAAGACCUGGAUGUGAACUGAAUUUCAGACACCUCUGAAUUGUGUGACCUCUGGACAAGUCACUUCCCCUCAUUCAGAACCAUUUUUCACAUCUGUAACAUGGGCUGAGAGGCUCAAAUGAGAUAAAAGUAUGUAAAAUGCUUUGCCAACCUUAUAAGCCUGGU
rnacentral:lncRNA from 1 species